ensembl:lncRNA
GUAAAUUUGUAUUUUAGCAACCUCCACAGCACAGCAGCCGGAGAGCGUCACCGCGGAGCAGCCGGAGAGCCUCACCAAGCAGUCUGAAACUGUAUUUGUUCUCAAUCUUGUUCCUGUGUCUUUCUCACUCUCUCCAACCUCUCUCUCCUCCUUCCUCUGCUACUUCUACAACUGUUCUUCCUUCACUUUCUUCCCCUCCUCCACCUCCACUGCGGCAGAGGAAAAGAAGGUUAAACACCUUUACCGCGUCACACUCUACCACCCCUGUCUCUCCUCCAUAUCCAUCUGCCUCUUCCAUUUCCAAGCCUUUGAGUCAGGAGGUGCCACUGGUUAAGAACAGAAGAAAAGGGGAAAGCUGAAUUGAAAGUUCACUGGUUGCCUUGCACUGAGUGUGGCAAAACCUGGGAUGACACGUGGGAGCCUGCGAGUGAAUUCCAACACAUUGUGCCAAAGCAUUGUCCCAACCAGCUUUCAGCAUGACAACAGUCACCAUAAACACCUGGACUCAUCAAGCACCC